rnacentral:misc_RNA from 1 species
CACAGUUCUCCAAGAUAUUUGAUUUCUUAUGCUUCUUCUGUAUCUCACAUAUGCACUCAAUCAAUUAGUUUUCUGUAGCUGCAUUUCAUUUACACUCUUAGGGUUUAGGGUUUUAUCCUAGACGAAAAUUUCUUUUCUCACUUAUUGGAUUUUAAUCGCUGCAUCCCGUCUCCAGAAUUCCUACAAUUUCAUUUGGCAAUAUGUCCCGUUAGAUGUCGGUUGAG